rnacentral:rRNA from 1 species
UAGCUAGUUGGUGAGGUAAAGGCUUACCAAGGCGACGAUCUGUAGCGGGUCUGAGAGGAUGAUCCGCCACACCGGAACUGAGACACGGUCCAGACUCCUACGGGAGGCAGCAGUGGGGAAUUUUGGACAAUGGGGGCAACCCUGAUCCAGCCAUGCCGCGUGAGUGAAGAAGGCCUUCGGGUUGUAAAGCUCUUUCGGCCGGGAAGAAAUCGCAUGGGCCAAUACCCUGUGUGGAUGACGGUACCGGAAUAAGAAGCACCGGCUAACUACGUGCCAGCAGCCGCGGUAAUACGUAGGGUGCGAGCGUUAAUCGGAAUUACUGGGCGUAAAGCGUGCGCAGGCGGUUUUGUAAGACAGGCGUGAAAUCCCCGGGCUUAACCUGGGAACUGCGUUUGUGACUGCAAGGCUAGAGUACGGCAGAGGGGGGUGGAAUUCCACGUGUAGCAGUGAAAUGCGCAGAGAUGUGGAGGAACACCAAUGGCGAAGGCAGCCCCCUGGGUCGAUACUGACGCUCAUGCACGAAAGCGUGGGUAGCAAACAGGAUUAGAUACCCUGGUAGUCCACGCCCUAAACUAUGUCAACUAGGUGUUGGGUGGGUAAAACCAUUUAGUACCGUAGCUAACGCGUGAAGUUGACCGCCUGGGGAGUACGGCCGCAAGGUUAAAACUCAAAGGAAUUGACGGGGACCCGCACAAGCGGUGGAUGAUGUGGAUUAAUUCGAUGCAACGCGAAAAACCUUACCUACCCUUGACAUGCCAGGAACUUGCCAGAGAUGGCUUGGUGCCCGAAAGGGAGCCUGGACACAGGUGCUGCAUGGCUGUCGUCAGCUCGUGUCGUGAGAUGUUGGGUUAAGUCCCGCAACGAGCGCAACCCUUGUCGUUAAUUGCCAUCAUUUAGUUGGGCACUUUAACGAGACUGCCGGUGACAAACCGGAGGAAGAUGGGGAUGACGUCAAGUCCUCAUGGCCCUUAUGGGUAGGGCUUCACACGUCAUACAAUGGUCGGUACAAAGGGUUGCCAAGCCGCGAGGCGGAGCCAAUCCCAGAAAGCCGAUCGUAGUCCGGAUUGCAGGCCAACUCGCCUGCAUGAAGUCGGAAUCGCUAGUAAUCGUGGAUCAGCAUGUCACGGUGAAUACGUUCCCGGGUCUUGUACACACCGCCCGUCACACCAUGGGAGCGGGUUCCGCCAGAAGUAGGUAGCCUAACCGCAAGGGGGGCGCUUACCACGGCGGGGUUCGUGACUGGGGUGAAGUCGUAACAAGGUAGCCGUAGGGGAACCUGCGGCU